rnacentral:rRNA from 1 species
CGGCAACAGCUCAAAUUUGAAAUCUGGCUCUUUUAGAGUCCGAGUUGUAAUUUGUAGAAGAUGCUUCGAGUGUGGUGCCGGUCUAAGUUCCUUGGAACAGGACGUCAUAGAGGGUGAGAGCCCCGUACGGUUGGACGCCUAGCCUUUGUAAAGCUCCUUCGAC